rnacentral:rRNA from 1 species
UACGUAGGUGGCAAGCGUUGUCCGGAAUUAUUGGGCGUAAAGCGCGCGCAGGCGGUUCUUUUAAGUCUGAUGUGAAAGCCCACGGCUCAACCGUGGAGGGUCAUUGGAAACUGGAGAACUUGAGUACAGAAGAGGAAAGCGGAAUUCCACGUGUAGCGGUGAAAUGCGUAGAGAUGUGGAGGAGCACCAGUGGCGAAGGCGGCUUUCUGGUCUGUAACUGACGCUGAGGCGCGAAAGCGUGGGGAGCAAACAGG